rnacentral:ncRNA from 2 species
GAUUUCCUUCGGGGCGGGGCGAAAUUCCCCACCGGCGGUGAUACAAUGCGAAUUCUCGCGCGUUGUUCAGUCCGUGACCCGGCCGCGGCAGCAUCUGGCGCAUCCGGUGGACUCGGUGUGAUUCCGAGACCGACAGUAUAGUCUGGAUGGGAGAAGGAAACG